CCCAACCCAGUGGUCACCCGCAUUCUGCGACCUCAGGCUGACUCAUGCCGACCCAGCUCCACAUCUGGCCUCCAUAUGGGGCUGGCACUUCAAGGGGGGAGGUCACAUCUGGCUGG
rnacentral:miRNA from 1 species